UACGGAGGGGGUUAGCGUUGUUCGGAAUGACUGGGCGUAAAGCGCGCGUAGGCGGAUCGUUAAGUCGGGGGUGAAAUCCCGGGGCUCAACCCCGGAAUGGCCUUCGAUACUGGCGGUCUUGAGUUCGAGAGAGGUGAGUGGAAUUCCGAGUGUAGAGGUGAAAUUCGUAGAUAUUCGGAGGAACACCAGUGGCGAAGGCGGCUCACUGGCUCGAUACUGACGCUGAGGUGCGAAAGCGUGGGGAGCAAAC
rnacentral:rRNA from 1 species